GUCAGGCACAGACAAGGGGAUGUCGACCUCAGUGAAACGCACACUAUAUGGAGUGAGUGCUUUGGAUGCUAGAAUUAGAACACAAAUGAUUUUAUCUUUAUUUAAAAACCAGGCGUCCCACGGGGGUGGAAAGAGCACACGGAGGUCAUUGUCCUGUGCUUUAGCCUAUGAGAGUUUCCACUUCCCCUCCCUCCUCCUGGGUUUGGUUGCCCCCACCCUACUCUACAUCCCUUCUAUAACUGAAAAUGAUUGUAAAAUAAAUUUUUAUGAGAAUUUUAAAAACUGUCCAAGAAGACUUUUUGGAGCAUUAUAAAGUCCCACACCUAAAACGCACAGCAGGCUGAAUAUUUCAGUUUUCUUAAUGAUGUCAAUCAAUUUUUUCUUGCCUCCUAAGUCUUUUAAAAAACGAAACUCUGUACAUAUGUAACAAAGAGUUACUUUUUAAGAUAUCCAAAGGGCUGAGAGCUACCGUGGUGUCUACAAAGUAGCACAAUGCAGAGUUGUUGACGUGUUUUGCAUCCUCGUGUACAUUCACCCUCUCUCUGGCCUUGUACUUCCGCUUCUUCCUUCCCUAAUGAAUGACCUUACUUACUGACUGACAUCCCCCUGAAGUCAGCUGAUGUGCUUAUAACCCACCCAGGAGGGAAACAGGUAAAUUUCUUGUUUGUGCUCUGAAGGCCAGAGGCAUUGCUGUAUGCGUUACCUGUUUUUGUAACCUUGUAACCACCUGCUGAUUGGUGUUUCUUGGCGAUAGGCUCAGAGACACCUAGAUUAGAAACUUCACCUGUGAAUGUAAAACUAAGCUCUUGCCUUGCUACUCUCCUCUCCACCGCAGUUUUGGACAAAUCUUUGGAAACCCACCCCUGGGGCAGAGCCUGCCUUCUGGUGUUUUCAUAGCUGGCCUAAGAAGGGUGCUGUGGUGAGAUCGCAGUGUCUAAACAGAAUUGUUUCUCUGCCACUUCUGACUGGCUGGCCUCCUACUUCCAUAUGUACUGUAUUUGUUUACGGACUGUAGGUGGGUGUAUAGUGUAAAGGCUUGGUUUAAUAAACACAACCUCUCAGACCUGU
rnacentral:lncRNA from 1 species